AUGGCAUUGGAUGACGUCACCCACCGGACGCUGGAAGUGAACGGCAUCAAGAUCCACGUCGCCGAGAUCGGCGACGGCGCGGCCGGCACCGUCCUCCUCCUGCACGGCUUCCUGGAGCUUUGGUGCUCGUGGCACCACCAGCUGCGAUCCCUCUCCGAGCGCGGCUACCGCUGCCUGGCCCCCGACCUCCGCGGCUAUGGCGACUCCGCCGCCCCGGCCUCCCCGUCGUCCUACACCGCUCUCCACAUCGUGGGCGACCUGGUCGGACUCCUCGACGCCCUGUCCCUGCCGCAGGUGUUCGUGGUGGGGCAAGGCUGGGGCGCCCUGCUGGCGUGGCACCUCUGCACGUUCCGCCCCGAGCGGGUGCGCGCGCUGGUCAACAUGAGCGUCGCCUUCAUGCCGCGCAACCCGGCCGUGAAGCCGCUCGAGCUGUUCCGUCGGCUCUACGGCGACGGGUACUACCUCCUCCGGCUGCAGGAGCCCGGCGUCAUGGAGGCAGAGUUCGCGCAGAUGGACACCAAGUUCAUCUUCAAGAAGCUCCUGACGACCCGCGACACCGGCGCCAUCUCCAUGUCCAAAGAGUGGUGGGGCCCGACGGACGAGGACAUUCCUUUGCCCCCGUGGGUGUCAGAGGACUACGUCGGCCACCUCGCCGCCAAGUUCGACGAGACGGGGUUCGCCGGCGCCAUGAACUUCUACCGCUGCCUCGACCUGAACUGGGAGCUGACUGCGCCGUGGACUGCGGCCAAGGUGACGGUGCCGACCAAGUUCAUGGCGGGGGAAUCGGCGAUGUCGUACAACUACACGGGGGUGCAGGAGUACAUACACAAGGGCGGGCUCAAGGGCGACGUGCCGGGGCUUGAGGAGGUGGCGGUAAUCGCCGGCGGUGCGCACUACAUCCACCUGGAGAAGGCGGAGGAGGUCAGCGAGCACAUCUACGACUUCUUCAAAAAGUUCUGA
rnacentral:rRNA from 1 species